rnacentral:rRNA from 1 species
UGCAGACGGUGCAAGCGUUGCUCGGAUUUACUGGGCGUAAAGCGUGCGCAGACGGCUAAGCAAGUUGGACGUGAAAGCCUGGGGCUCAACCCCAGAAUUGCGCUCAAUACUACUUGGCUCGAGUAUGGGAGAGGGAAGUGGAAUUCCUGGUGUAGAGGUGAAAUUCGUAGAUAUCAGGAGGAACACCGGCGGCGAAGGCGGCUUCCUGGCCCAUUACUGACGUUCAGGCACGAAAGCGUGGGGAGCAAACAGG